CGAUAGCGACAACGACAGCAGCAACAUCUUCAACAUCAUCUUCUUCUUCUUCUUCUACUUCUUCUUCUUCCACUUCUUCUCUACCCAUUAUGGGCGACUAUUAUCUUUAGUGAUUCGAUUCGGAUUCGGAUUGGGAUUCGGAUUAGCAUUAGGAUUCGAUUCAAUUGGAUGAUGUUUGGCCGGCAACAACCACAACCACAAUAACAACAACAACAACAACCACAGCAACAACAUCAACAACAGCUACAACAAUCUCACUCUACUUCUCAUUUUACAGUCUGGGCAGCCCACAAACACAACUACACUUACACACACACACACACAGACACACACACAGACACUCGAGACACACACAUGAUAAAAGCUAUAACAAAAUCAUAUAUAAAAAAAAAUAAGCAAAAAACAAAAAAAAAAAAGAUAAAAACAAAAAAAAAACAUGAAGAAGAACUACAAGAAUUUUUUAGGAACGAAUAAUGAAACAAUGGACCAACAUAUCAAAUGCAAUAAUUUAUUCAAUUGUAUAGGAGAAAAAGAUUUUAAAAUAAAAAAUUAAAAAAAAAACAUACGAAAAAAACACUUUAAAAUGACGAAUAAAACGAAUGGCAUAAAAAGCCGAGUAGAUUCACAAACACAUUAACACACACACACACAGAGCCACAUCAACACCAACACAGACAGAGAGAAAAGCGACCAGAAAAACUCCAUGAAAUUGCUUCAAGUGAUCCGAUAAUAAGAAUUGCGCUCUUUAAAAAAAAAAGAAAAGAAACUAUAACUAAGCUAAACUGGGUAAACUAACUAAACACACACACACACAUACACACUCAAAAACAAACAGAUACUUGAGAGUUAUAUUAGCCUCUGCAUAUGUAAAUAUAUUCUAGAGUUUGAUUCGAUUGUAAAUACCGCAGCGAUCUCUUAAAAAAAAAAACUCAAAAAAAAACAA